rnacentral:rRNA from 1 species
AACCAACAGGGAUUGCCCUAGUAACGGCGAGUBAAGCGGCAACAGCUCAAAUUUGAAAUCUGGCUCUUUUAGGGUCCGAGUUGUAAUUUGCAGAGGGCGCUUUGGCUUUGGUAGCGGUCCAAGUUCCUUGGAACAGGACGUCACAGAGGGUGAGAAUCCCGUACGUGGUCGCUAGCUAUUGCCGUGUAAAGCCCCUUCGACGAGUCGAGUUGUUUGGGAAUGCAGCUCUAAAUGGGAGGUAAAUUUCUUCUAAAGCUAAAUAUUGGCCAGAGACCGAUAGCGCACAAGUAGAGUGAUCGAAAGAUGAAAAGCACUUUGGAAAGAGAGUCAAACAGCACGUGAAAUUGUUGAAAGGGAAGCGCUUGCAGCCAGACUUGCUUGCAGUUGCUCAUCCGGGCUUUUGCCCGGUGCACUCUUCUGUAGGCAGGCCAGCAUCAGUUUGGGCGGUGGGAUAAAGGUCUCUGACACGUUCCUUCCUUCGGGUUGGCCAUAUAGGGGAGACGUCAUACCACCAGCCUGGACUGAGGUCCGCGCAUCUGCUAGGAUGCUGGCGUAAUGGCUGUAAGCGGCCCGUCUUGAAACACGGACCAAGGAGUCUAACAUCUAUGCGAGUGUUUGGGUGUCAAGCCCGAGCGCGUAAUGAAAGUGAACGGAGGUGGGAACCCGCAAGGGCGCACCAUCGACCGAUCCUGAAGUUUACGGAAGGAUUUGAGUAAGAGCAUGGCUGUUGGGACCCGAAAGAUGGUGAACUAUGCUUGAAUAGGGUUGAAGCCAG